GGCCUUGCUCUUAUGUCAUCUGACUAAAGGUUUCAUAGACCAAAGAUAACCAUCCAACCUGUUGGAAUACUGAAACAAUUGCUGCCUGCUUUCCACACACUACAUAAAAUAUGUGGAUAUCCUAAAUUCUACAAAAAAAGAUUUGUAAGCAAAUCAAGCAAUACUGGGACUCCCUCUUCUCCAGAAGAGACAUCCUGGCCUCCAUGCAGAGGAAUGUGUGGAUAGACAUAUAUUUAAGGAAGACACUAAACCAGAAAAUACUACAUUACACCCUCUUAAAAGACUUCUAAGAUUGUUGUCAUGCCUACCACUGACAUUCAGAUGAUGUGUAUUCUUGAUUGUGAUUUCAUGUUUGGAGCUGAUGAAGGAGUUUGAAGUCUCCAGAGCAGCAAGGAGAGUGGGGAGUAGAACACAUCAUCUUUAGGUCACUCAUCCCCG
rnacentral:lncRNA from 1 species